GUUGUAGCUCAGUGGUAGAGCGCAUGCCUUGCACAUGUGAGGCACUGGGUUCGAUUCUCAGCACGAUA
rnacentral:tRNA from 1 species